CCCUGAAAAAAAUCAAAUUUCAAACACAACUUGACUGCUCAUUUCUCCAAAAGACAACCAUGAAGCUCCAUCCAAACCUGAAGCAGGCAGUUGGUGCAUGUGUACAGUAACCUGAGGGGAGUGAGGUGACUGCUUCUGAGGAGAACAUGAGCCGUGAAGAUUCACCUUGGAGCUAGAACAGGGACGUGCACAUGAUAAUACAGGGGCAGGGGCUCAAGUUUUUUCCAGUUGUUUAUACAAUAUGGAAAUUAAUGUGAAAUUAAAAACAAAGUAUUAAUAGAAAGGUAAUGACUGUCCUGUGUAGGUGACAGUGAUAUCCAAUAGGCUAGGCACUCACGAGGCUGGCUGUGGCAAGUGUAAGUGAAAGCAACACGCACUGGCAGGAAGAACAGCAAACGCCGAUGAAGGAAAAGGGUCUUUGCAGUGAUGGGCGUUACCAGAGAGGGCGAUGGCCAGAGGACACGAAUGGGACGGGGAGGCAGCGCGUUGGGGGGGGGGGGGGGGGGUGCGACACGGCUCGGGCCCGCCAGUGCCCCAACGGGGCCCUAGUUAGGGCCCGAGCGUAACUGCUAAGCAGCUGCGAGAGCCCUCUUGUUCCUGCAUGUUUCCUUCUUUCGUUAUUAUUUUUCCUCCGCUUUAAACUGGAAAAUGGCCCACUUCCCACUGGCGAAAACUCAGGAAAUUUGGCAGGACGACCGGGCCUGGUGAAAAAUUCGAUAUUCUAAAGUCGCCCGAACAAUAAAAUGCAAAAUGGCUCCAUAGCGCCCCCUAAGGUGAAAAUUCACAUGACGGCUGUACGCUUUGUCAUAUUGACACAAAAAUUGACACACACAUGUAUCUUAAUAAGAUCUACAAAAAAGUCAGUGCGGGCGUAUCUGUCAAAUGUACGGUUAAUGGGUUAUUUUGCAUUUUUUGCAGAUCUGCACACAUUGGAAUUUCGCUAACUCCUCCGAAGGCUUUCGUUCGACCGGCACCACAUUUGCGCAGGCCAAUCUACCCCCCAUGGCCAUUAAAAGUUGUACAAAUCAUGACGCUGCACCCCAAGGUUUAGGUUCUAGGGGGCGCCAAAGAUAACCCAAAAUCCACAUUCUUAAAAGUCUUUUAACUUUUUAUUUUUGUCCUCACUGCCCUCCAAGUUUUCUAGGAUGAUGCAAUGUCCAGCCAUCAACACAUUUGUGAAGGAAUUUUUACUCCCCAAAAGAGCGCCCCCCCAUGGCAGGAGAAAAAAGUCAAUUUUUUCUUGUCCCCUUACAUGAAAAUACACAUUGUUGAGUGUCAUGCCUGAACGCUUUGUCAUAUUGACACAAAAAUUGAAAAUCACGUGUAUCUCAAUUAGAUCUACGAAAAAGUCAAAAAGCGCGUAUCUGUAUAAUGUACGGUUAAAGGGCUAUUUCGCAUUUUUUGCCGAUUCGCACACAUUGGAAUGUGGCUAUCUCCUCCUAAGGCUUUCGUCCCACCGAUACCAAAUUUGCUCAGGGCAAUCUACACCCCAUGCCCAUUCAAAGUUGUAAAAAUCAUGACGCUGCACCCCACGGUUUACGUUCUAGGGGGCACCAAAGAUGACCCAAAAAUCCACAUUCUUAAAAGUCAUUUUGGCCACUGCAGGAGUACAGAGUACUGCAGUUCUAGGGGGCGCCAAAGAUGACCCAAAAAUCCACAUUCUUAAAAGUCUUUUUGGCCACUGCAGGAGUACAGAGUACUGCAGGAUACACACACAUAUAACACACACACACACACACACACACACACACACACACACACACACACACACACACACACUCAGAGUCUGUUUUUUAGCACCUGCAAAAACAUGCUGUUUACAUAUUUGACAAGAAUGCAGAGGCUUCCUUUUGCCCCUGAAAAAAAUCAGAUUUCAAACACAACUUGACUGUUCAUUUCUCCAAAAGACAACCAUGAAGCUCCAUCCAAACCUGAAGCAGAUAGUUGGUGCAUGUGUACAGUAACCUGAGGGGAGUGAGGUGACUAUUUCUGAGGAGAACAUGAGCAGUGAAGAUUCACCUUGGAGCUAGAACAGGGACGUGCACAUGAUUAUACAGGGGCAGGGGCUCAAGUUUUUUCCAGUCAUUUAUACAAUAUGGAAAUUAAUGUGAAAUUAAAACACAAAUAUGUGUGAUGAACUGUUUUUAAAACUUAAACUUCAAAUAAAAAUUGUAAACUUCAAAACAUAUGCAAAUUUUUAACAAAGAACAUAGUAAUUUACCUCUAUUUACAUCAAAAUGCAGGCAAUGGCCCAGGCGUUCUUUGUAAAAUUAUUUACAAAACACUGUAUAGUCUCACAAAUGUCACUUUUUAUUUAUGCCACUACAAAAAAACAUGAUGUAAAUGAUGCAUGAUGUAAAACAUGAUGUAAAAAACUUGUGUAGAUCCUCCUCUAUGUCAGUCCAUGUGUAAUUUUUCCAUAAUUCUUUGUUUUUUGCAGCAUUUUUGUUAGUGUAACUGCAGAUUGUGCUGACAGUCUAUGGCAAAAAAAACAAAAACUGAAAAUGCCUCAACAUGAACCCCUGGUGGUCUCUGAGGGUGAAACCUGCUAACUGCUGCAGCUCUGUCAGCUUCAGUCUCCCAUGCAGAGCUCGGAGCGCAUGUGUGGCUCUGCACCCUUAGCAGCGUUGCUAACUCCUCAGUAAGGAAAGCCUGCUUCAUGUCAGAGUCUCUAAACUCCAGAAGAAGUCGAUAAAAGUCCCUUUCUUUCUAAAAAAAGUCGUUAGGGGGUCUGAAAAGUCAUUGAAUCUAACAACAAAGUCGCUAGGUUUGCAACUACGUGUCCCAGACUGCAUCCCUGCUGAGAGUCCCUCCCUCCCUUCUCAUGUUGCAGGAAGAACGUAAGCGCCCGCCCCUUGUCAAUCAGUCACCAUAUAAUUUUGGAUUGGUUGUUGUGGUGAAGUUUUCCACCAAUAGGAGAGAUGUUGUGGUGUGUUUUUUUUUCUUUUGGCAAGCCUUUUCCGCCUGUAAGACCUGUCGCUAAUGUGUGCAUGCUAUGUUUUCCUGUCUCAUACAGCGCGAUCGAGCGCCGAACGUGAUCAAAAUAAGCAGAAAAAAAGUAUCGCGGACAUAAUUUAUCAUAACUCUGGUUUUAUUUGGCCUAUCAACACAAUUUAAAAACUGGUAUAUAGGUUGAGGUCCUCACUUUUGAGAUAAGUUGAAACGGAGAGUCAACGAGGCUCCGUCUUGCAGCUACAUCCGGUUAAAUAUAUCAUGUGACUUGAACGCUGGGGAGCGUCAAUCGAAUCGAAUCAAACCUAACUCUCAGAUGAAUCUUCAAAAUUCACCUCAGAAAUAUGCUUAUUAUUCUUCUCAGAGUACUGCAGGAUACACACACACACACACACACACACACACACACACACACACACACACACACACACACACACACACACACACACUCAGAGUCUGUUUUUUAGCACCUGCAAAAACAUGCUAUUUACAUAUUUGACAAGAAUGCAGAGGCUUCCUUUUGCCCCUGAAAAAAAUCAAAUUUCAAACACAACUUGACUGCUCAUUUCUCCAAAAGACAACCAUGAAGCUCCAUCCAAACCUGAAGCAGGCAGUUGGUGCAUGUGUACAGUAACCUGAGGGGAGUGAGGUGACUGCUUCUGAGGAGAACAUGAGCAGUGAAGAUUCACCUUGGAGCUAGAACAGAGACAUGCACAUGAUUAUACAGGGGCAGGGGCUCAAGUUUUUUCCAGUCGUUUAUACAAUAUGGAAAUUAAUGUGAAAUUAAAAAACAAAGUAUGACUGUCCUGUGUAGGUGACAGUGAUAUCCAAUAGGCUAGGCACUCACGAGGCUGGCUGUGGCAAGUGUAAGUGAAAGCAACACGCACUGGCAGGAAGAACAGCAAACGCUGAUGAAGGAAAAGGGUCUUUGCAGUGAUGGGCGUUACCAGAGAGGGCGAUGGCCAGAGGACACAAAUGGGACGGGAAGGCAGCACGUUGGGGGGGGGGGGGAGGGACACGGCUCGGGCCCGCCAGUGCCCCAACGGGGCCCUAGUUUCUUCUUUUUCCUCCCCUUUGAACUGGAAAAUGGCCCACUUCCCACUGGCGAAAACUCAUGAAAUUUGGCAGGAUGACCGGGCCUGGUGAAAAAUUUGAUAUUCCGAAGUCGCCCAAACAAGAAAAUGCAAAAUGGCUCCAUAGCGCCCCCUAAGGUGAAAAUUCACACUAUUGACUGUCACGCCUUUACGCUUUGUCAUAUUGACACAAAAAUUGACACACACAUGUAUCUCAAUAAGAUCUACAAAAAAGUCAGUGCGGGCGUAUCUGUCAAAUGUACGGUUAAAGGGUUAUUGCGCAUUUUUUGCUGACCCGCACACAUUGGAAUUUCGCUAACUCCUCCUAAGGCUGGCGUUCCACCGGCACCACAUUUGCUCAGGCCAAUCUACACCCCAUGGCCAUUAAAAGUUAUUCAAAUCAUGACGCUGCACCCCACGGUUUAGGUUCUAGGGGGCGCCAAAGAUAACCCUAAAAUCCACAUAUUUAAAAGUCUUAUAACUUUUUAUUUUUGUCCUCACUGGCCUCCAAGUUUUCUAGGAUGAUGCAAUGUCCAGCCAUCAACACAUUUGUGAAGGAAUUUUUACUCCCCAAAAGAGCGCCCCCCCAUGGCAGGAGAAAAAAGUCCAUUUUUUCUUGUCCCAUAAGGUGAAAAAACACAUUGUUGACUGUCAUACCUGUACGCUUUGUCAUAUUGACACAAAAUUUGACAAUCACAUGUAUCUCAAUAAGAUCUACGAAAAAGUCAAUGCGCGCGUAUCUGUAAAAUGUACGGUUAAAGGGCUAUUUUGCAUUUUUUGCCGAUUCGCACACAUUGGAAUGUGGCUAACUCCUCCUAAGGCUUUCGUCCCACUGACACCAAAUUUGCUCAGGCCAAUCUACACCCCAUGGCCAUUCAAAGUUGUAAAAAUCAUGACGCUGCACCCCACGGUUUACGUUCUAGGGGGCGCCAAAGAUGACCCAAAUAUCCACAUUCUUAAAAGAAUCCACAUCCCCCCCCCCCUCAUCCCCCAACCCUCAUGGCAGGAGAAACAGUCAAGUUUUUCCUGCCCAUCACUCAAUGGCUCAAUCGCAUCACUCUCCCGGCAACACCGUAACAAGGAGCAACUUGCCGUUUGGAUAUAUCCUAGCUGUGUUUGUGCCCUCACUCAUGGUCCAGACUUUUUUCAAAUAGGACAUGUAGUUUGUCUGCAGCGAGUGUUUUGGUAGAAACUGCGCCUCCCAUUCAUUAUAAUGGGAAAUGACCACAGACAAGUGCGCACACCAUCUUUGGACCUUGAGUGUGACGCGAUCGGGAGGGGGAGGCGGUCGCGCUGGGGGCGGCGCAACGCGGCUCGGGCCCGACAGUGCCCCACCGGGGCCCUAGUUAGGGCCCGAGCCAGCUGCAGAGCAGCCGGGCGUAGAGCCCUAUUAUUCCUGUAUAGGUUUUUCUUUCUUCUUUCUUUAGGGCCCGAGCCAGCUGCAGAGCAGCCGGGCGUAGGCCCUGUUAUUCCUGUAGGGGUUUUUCUUUGUUUCUUUCUUUCUUCUUUUUCCUCCCCUUUGAACUGGAAAAUGGCCCACUUCCCACUGGCGAAAACUCAGGAAAUUUGGCAGGACGACCGGGCCUGGUGAAAAAUUUGAUAUUCCGAAGUCGCCCAAACAAGAAAAUGCAAAAUGGCUCCAUAGCGCCCCCUAAGGUGAAAAUUCACACUAUUGACUGUCACGCCUGUACGCUUUGUCAAAAUGACACAAAAAUUGACACACACAUGUAUCUCAAUAAGAUCUACAAAAAAGUCAGUGCGGGCGUAUCUGUCAAAUGUACGGUUAAAGGGUUAUUUCGCAUUUUUUGCCGAUCCGCACACAUUGGAAUUUCGCUAACUCCUCCGAAGGCUUUCGUUCCACCGGCACCACAUUUGCUCAGGCCAAUCUACACCCCAUGGCCACUAAAAGUUAUUCAAAUCAUGACGCUGCACCCCACGGUUUAGGUUCUAGGGGGCGCCAAAGAUAACCCUAAAAUCCACAUUUUUAAAAGUCUUAUAACUUUUUAUUUUUGCCCUCACUGGCCUCCAAGUUUUCUAGGAUGAUGCAAUGUCCAGCCAUCAACACAUUUGUGAAGGAAUUUUUACUCCCCAAAAGAGCGCCCCCCCAUGGCAGGAGAAAAAAGUCCAUUUUUUUCUUGUCCCCUAAGGUGAAAAUACACAUUGUUGAGUGUCACGCCUGUACGCUUUGUCAAAAUGACACAAAAAUUGACACACACAUGUAUCUCAAUAAGAUCUACAAAAAAGUCCAUGCGCGCGUAUCUGUCUAAUGUACGGUUAAAGGGUUAUUCGGCAUUUUUUGCCGAUUCGCACACAUUGGAAUUUCGCUAACUCCUCCGAAGGCUUUCGUUCCACCGGCACCACAUUUGCUCAGGCCAAAUUACACCCCAUGGCCAUUAAAAGUUAUUCAAAUCAUGACGCUGCACCCCACGGUUUACGUUCUAGGGGGCGCCAAAGAUAACCCAAAAAUCCACAUUUUUAAAAGUCUUAUAACUUUUUAUUUUUGUCCUCACUGGCCUCCAAGUUUUCUAGGAUGAUGCAAUGUCCAGCCAUCAACACAUUUGUGAAGGAAUUUUUACUCCCCAAAAGAGCGCCCCCCCAUGGCAGGAGAAAAAAGUCCAUUUUUUCUUGUCCCCUAAGGUGAAAAUACACAUUGUUGACUGUCACGCCUGUACGCUUUGGCAAAAUGACACAAAAAUUGACAAUCAUGUGUAUCUCAAUUAGGUCUACGAAAAAGUCAAAGAGCGCGUAUCUGUAUAAUGUACGGUAAAAGGGCUAUUUUGCAUUUUUUGCCGAUUCGCACACAUUGGAAUUUCGCUAACUCCUCCUAAGGCUUUCGUCCCACUGACACCAAAUUUGCCCAGGCCAAUCUACACUCCAUGGCCAUUCAAAGUUGUAAAAAUCAUGACGCUGCACCCCACGGUUUACGUUUUAGGGGGCGCCAAAGAUGACCCAAAUAUACAUUACAGUAGACAAUGUAGUUUUGCCCACUGAGUGGCGCCAAAGGGACUUGUCUGUGGAGUCUGUGAGUCACUAUUGGCCGUUUUUGACUACUUUAGAUUUUACCUUUAUAUUUCCUCUUACAAAAUUUUUACCUUGCCUUGCCUGGUAUCAUUUUUUUCAGCACAACCUCACCUGUGUCAAUUUACAGUUAUUUUAUCAUUUUGACAUACUAUAUUUACACAUUGGACCCAAAUUCACACACAAAACAUAAAAUCCGAGUGGAAAAAAGUAAUGUUUUUACUGUGAAAACCACAAAUAUGUGUGAUGAACUGUUUUUAAAACUUAAACUUCAAAUAAAAAUUGUAAACUUCAAAACAUAUGCAAAUUUUUAACAAAGAACAUAGUGAUUUACCUCUAUUUACAUCAAAAUGCAGGCAAUGGCCCAGGCGUUCUUUGUAAAAUUAUUUACAAAACACUGUAUAGUCUCACAAAUGUCACUUUUUAUUUAUGCCACUACAAAAAAACAUGAUGUAAAUGAUGCAUGAUGUAAAACAUGAUGUAAAAAACUUGUGUAGAUCCUCCUCUAUGUCAGUCCAUGUGUAAUUUUUCCAUAAUUCUUUGUUUUUUGCAGCAUUUUUGUUAGUGUAACUGCAGAUUGUGCUGACAGUGUCUAUGGCAAAAAAAAAAAAAAAAUUAAAAUGCCUCAACAUGAACCCCUGGUGGUCUCUGAGGGUGAAACCUGCUAACUGCUGCAGCUCUGUCAGCUUCAGUCUCCCAUGCAGAGCUCGGAGCGCAUGUGUGGCUCUGCACCCUUAGCAGCGUUGCUAACUCCUCAGUAAGGAAAGCCUGCUUCAUGUCAGAGUCUCUAAACUCCAGAAGAAGUCGAUAAAAGUCCCUUUCUUUCUAAAAAAAAGUCGUUAGGGGGUCUGAAAAGUCAUUGAAUCUAACAACAAAGUCGCUAGGUUUGCAACUACGUGUCCCAGACUGCAUCCCUGCUGAGAGUCCCUCCCUCCCUUCUCAUGUUGCAGGAAGAACGUAAGCGCCCUCCCCUUGUCAAUCAGUCACCAUAUAAUUUUGGAUUGGUUGUUGUGGUGAAGUUUUCCACCAAUAGGAGAGAUGUUGUGGUGUGUUUUUUUUUUCUUUUGGCAAGCCUUUUCCGCCUGUAAGACCUGUCGCUAAUGUCUGCAUGCUAUGUUUUCCUGUCUCAUACAGCGCGAUCGAGCGCCGAACGUGAUCAAAAUAAGCAGAAAAAAAGUAUCGCGGACAUAAUUUAUCAUAACUCUGGUUUUAUUUGGCCUAUCAACACAAUUUAAAAACUGGUAUAUAGGUUGAGGUCCUCACUUUUGAGAUAAGUUGAAACGGAGAGUCAACGAGGCUCCGUCUUGCAGCUACAUCCGGUUAAAUAUGUCAUGUGACUUGAACGCACACACAGACACACACACACGCACACACACACACACACUCAGAGUCUGGUUUUUAGCACCUGCAAAAACAUGCUAUUUACAUAUUUGACAAGAAUGCAGAGGCUCCUUUUGCCCCUGAAAAAAAUCAAAUUUCAAACACAACUUGACUGGUCAUUUCUCCAGAAGACAACCAUGAAGCUCCAUCCAAACCUGAAGCAGGCAGUUGGUGCAUGUGUACAGUAACCUGAGGGGAGUGAGGUGAGUGCUUCUGAGGAGAACAUGAGCAGUGAAGAUUCACCUUGGAGCUAGAACAGAGACAUGCACAUGAUUAUACAGGGGCAGGGGCUCAAGUUUUUUCCAGUCGUUUAUACAAUAUGGAAAUUAAUGUGAAAUUAAAACACAAAGUAUUAAUAGAAAG